rnacentral:rRNA from 1 species
ACGCUGGCGGCGCGUCUUAAACAUGCAAGUCGAACGAUCUGUAGCAAUACAGGGAGUGGCGGACGGGUGAGGAACACGUAGGAAUCUACCUUGAAGAGCGGGACUAACUUUGGGAAACCGGGGCUAAUACCGCAUAGUACAGAGAUGUUAAAGGGCUAGCAAUAGUCGCUUCGAGAUGAGCCUGCGGUCUAUCAGCUUGUUGGUGAGGUAAUGGCUCACCAAGGCUACGACGGAUAGCCGGUCUGAGAGGAUGAUCGGCCACACUGGCACUGAGACACGGGCCAGACUCCUACGGGAGGCAGCAGUUAAGAAUCUUGCGCAAUGGGGGAAACCCUGACGCAGCGACGCCGCGUGAAGGAUGAAGGCUUUCGGGUUGUAAACUUCGGUAGACUGGGAAGAAGAAAUACGUUCGUUGAGGGCGUAUAGUGACGGUACCAGUCUGAAGCCCCGGCUAAUUACGUG